AAAAAAUGGAUAUGAUUAAAGAUAUAAAGAAUAUUUUUUGGUUUAAUAAUUAAGAAAAAAGAACGUAACAGUAAAACUGACGAGAAACAAAAUAAUGAACCUCACAAAUCAUAAUUUAUAACGAUGGAAACUGACUUAUUGAUAUAAUCUGUCGUUUGAGUUUAAGUUGCAUUUAUUAAGCGCGGAUGUAUGUUCAAAGGAAAAUUUGUAACUUUCAUGAUAUACGUGAAGAAUUGAUACAGGUCAAUAAAAUAGUUCUAAAAUAAAUAAUCGUAUUUCGGAUUAUUUCAUUAUAUCUCAUUGAUUAUUUCAUUAUAUCUCAUUAAUCUCGCAUAUCGUAACUACCGUCAUUUAUUAUAUCUAAUUAUAUAGCUAAUUUAUCUCUCCCUCUCUCUCUCUUUCUCUCUUGCAAAAUUUGUGGUUAUGUUUCCUGCAUUUCUAUGAAAACACAUUCAUUUUGUCAAAAAAGACGAAUAAUUAAUUGAAUACACACCAUUUCGAGCCGUAUAUCGUUUAUCCAUCAAACGAAACGUAGAGAGUCGAUUUCUAUUAAGAGAAAGACACUUUCUUGUCUCCCCCUACAGUCUACAAUCGGUCUACUUUCUUUUACGAGCCAAUCACUGAUACGAAUGCGAACUCAUCGUAAAUACCGAUAGGUAUUUCCAAUCAUUGAGCUUACGACAAAUCGACAAUACAAUAUAACCGUUACGUAGAAAUCGAUUAUUAAAAUGAACCGUCGAUUGUUUAUUAAACUUGGAUUUUCCUAUUAUUUCGUGGCUCAGCCCUCUUUCUUCUGAGCUUCUGUCUCUAUUUACGAAAAUCUUUGAUAUUAUAUUUUACACAACGAAGAUCGGUCGAUUUGAUAACGCACCGAAUAACUCUGAUAAAAUAUUAUUCUAUUUAUUAAUUUUUGAAAUUAUAUGAAUCUCGAAUAUCUCGAUUGAUUGUUUGGAACUCGUGUGAGAAGAAAAUUACCUACGAGAAUGAUGAUCCUUCGAGAAGUCUAUGAGAUAUUGGAAAAGGAAUGAGAAUGAGAAGGAAACGAAUGGUCAACAAAUCCGAUCUUCUUCGUUGCGAUGGGAUAUAAUAUUAUUUUAUGCAUUAUAAACCACAUUUUAUGAUCUAAAUUGAAUCAAUAAACCAAUAAAGAAAAAUUGUGUUUAAAAUAUUAAAGAUAUAAAUAAAUGAUAUAAAAAAUCGGAUCGAGUGCCGAUCCUAAUGGAUGUUAUUCAAGUUAUCUGGGGAAAACCUGAACGAGAUAAGAACAGAAAAUAUAUUAUCAACGUAUCGUGUCGGCUCAAACUUGUACGUAUCGUUAAGACGUUUCUGAUUUUUAAAUGAUCCCAAAAUAUAAAGAAUAUCGAGAAGAAAAGAACAUCGAAUCUUAUUUUAUUACAUUAAUAAUAUUUACGAAUUUUGAUCACAAGAAAAAAGAUAUCAAUAUUCAAUUCGAACAUAUACUUAUAUAUCACGAUGUAAGAGACUAAACGCAAAAAAAAAUCCAAAUCCACGCGUGUCUCGUAAUAUGAAAGAAAGAGAUAGAUUAAUAAUUUUUAGCCUUGUAAAAUCCCCGUGUUUGUAUUUCUGCGAUAAUUUCAUUUGUAAGAUAACGAUAAGAUCGAUAUUUUCUUUCUUUUUAUUUUCUGGGCCCUUUGAAAAUACCUUUAUCUAUUUUUUAUCAAUCUUUCUCACAAUUUCGAGUAAAUUAAAAGGAAAUUAUUCAACGCUCUAUUAUUUCAUACUUAAAUUUGAACAAAACAUGUUUUCCAAACUAAAGGAAUCUUGGUUUUAGAGAAAUCAUCAUAAAAUUUGUCGAAUGUCAAGCGUUGUUGUUUGGUUAUACACGAGGUUGGGAAAGUACGAUGACUCAAUGACAAAACGGAAAGUAGUGGAUAUUUUUGCCCAGAUCUCUAUAGUCCCAGAAAAUUUUGAUCAUUGGAGUUUGGUUUCUUCGACUGAUUUUCUCGAUACUUGCACAGAAUAUCAAUGAACAAAGAUAAAUGCCGUUAAAAAAAAGAAAAGAGAAAAAAAUAAAGUUAAAAGCUUCAACAUAUAUCAAUUAUCUUUUCAUUUUUAACGUACGUUUAGAUUUACACAAUAAUGCUAUGUUAUGUCUAAAUGUGUUCCUUUAAACAAACAGUUAUUGUUAAAUACUUAUAAAUGACAGCUUUGUGAUCUAUGAUAACGAAGAUUUAUGUAUAUAAUCGUGCGUAUAUUGCAAUGAUUAGAAAAAUAAUGAUUCGCGGCUCAUGUGAUUGUAAUAAGCAGAUCUAAUUACAUUCGAGUUAAUGAAAUUGCUUACAUUCG